AUUGAACGCUGGCGGCAUGCCUUACACAUGCAAGUCGAACGGCAGCACGGGAGCAAUCCUGGUGGCGAGUGGCGAACGGGUGAGUAAUAUAUCGGAACGUGCCCAGUCGUGGGGAUAACGUAGCGAAAGCUACGCUAAUACCGCAUACUAUCUAUGAAUGAAAGCGGGGGGAUCGCAGACCUCGCGCGAUUGGAGCGGCCGAUAUCAGAUUAGGUAGUUGGUGAGGUAAAGGCUCACCAAGCCGACGAUCUGUAGCUGGUCUGAGAGGACGACCAGCCACACUGGGACUGAGACACGGCCCAGACUCCUACGGGAGGCAGCAGUGGGGGAAUUUUUGGGACAAUGGGCGCAAGCCUGAUCCAGCAAUGCCGCGUGCAGGAUGAAGGCCUUC
rnacentral:rRNA from 1 species